AUUAACGCUGGCGGCGUGCAUAACACAUGCCAGUCGAACGAUGAAACUUAAAUGAUUUCUUCGGAAUGAACUUAAGUGGAUUAGUGGCGGACGGGUGAGUAACGCGUGAGUAACCUGCCUUACACAAGGGGAUAGCCGUUGGAAACGACGAAUAAUACCCUAUGAAACUAUCACUUCGCAUGAAGCGAUAGUCAAAGUGUUAGCGGUGUAAGAUGGACUUGCGUCUGAUUAGCUAGUUGGUGAGAAAAAAGCCCACCAAGGCAACGAUCAGUAGCCGGCUUGAGAGAGUGUACGGCCACAUUGGGACUGAGACACGGCCCAGACUCCUACGGGAGGCAGCAGUGGGGAAUUUUGCACAAUGGGGGAAACCCUGAUGCAGCGACGCCGCGUGAUUUAGAAGGCCUUCGGGUUGUAAAAAUCUUUUGUAUAGGAAGAAAAUGACAGUACUAUACGAAUAAGGUCCGGCUAAUUACGUG
rnacentral:rRNA from 1 species